AGCGAACGCUGGCGGCAGGCCUGACACAUGCAAGUCGAGCGGCCGUAGCAAUACGGCAGCGGCAGACGGGAGAGUAACACGUGGGAACGCGCCCUUCGGUUCGGGAUAACUCAGGGAAACUUGGGCUAAUACCGGAUACGCCCUUACGGGGAAAGAUUUAUUGCCGAAGGAAUGGCCCGCGUCCGAUUAGCUUGUUGGUGAGGUAACGGCUCACCAAGGCGACGAUCGGUAGCUGGUCUGAGAGGAUGACCAACCUCACUGGGACUGAGACACGGCCCAGACUCCUACGGGAGGCAGCAGUGGGGAAUAUUGGACAAUGGGCGCAAGCCUGAUCCAGCCAUGCCGCGUGGGUGAUGAAGGCCCUAGGGUUGUAAAGCCCUUUCAGCGGGGAAGAUAAUGACGGUACCCGCAGAAGAAGCCCCGGCUAACUUCGUGCCAGCCGCCGCCGUAACAC
rnacentral:rRNA from 1 species